AAAAAACUCUAGAAAGAUGCAUCAAUUCCAGAAAACCAGGAAAAUGCUGAACUGGUUUCUCCCCAGUAAUCCAGACUCCACUUCACAGAGCCAAGAGUUUGAGUAAAUCUUGGUGUAGGGGAUAAAGCAUGUUUUAGAGACAUGUUCCUGAAGACCAUUGUUCAAACCAUCCGGAAGGACCCGGCAACCCAGGAUGCACUGAUGAGGCGGUCCAGGUUAACGUUACGCGUUACCUGAAAGGAGCAUCUGACCGUGAAGGCAGAAAAAGGCGCCGCACAGCUGAGAGGGACCCACAGCCGACCACUUAAAACUAGACUGACUACUGACACCCCAGAAUCACUGACAACUGGAAUCCUUUCUUUAUCUUGCAGUCAGUAGAAU